rnacentral:rRNA from 1 species
AACACCGCCUCUUGCAAGUAUAAGAGGUCCCGCCUGCCCUGUGACUAUUGUUUAACGGCCGCGGUACUCUGACCGUGCGAAGGUAGCGCAAUCACUUGUCUUUUAAAUGAAGACCUGUAUGAAUGGCAUAACGAGGGCUAAACUGUCUCCUUUUUCAGGUCAAUGAAAUUGAUCUCCCCGUGCAGAAGCGGGGAUAUAACCAUAAGACGAGAAGACCCUAUGGAGCUUUAGACAUAAAGCAGAACAUGUUAAAAACCCCCAUAUAAGGGGCCAAACUUAAUGAUUACUGCCCAACUGUCUUUGGUUGGGGCGACCACGGAGAAAAGUAAAACCCCCGUGCGGAAUAGGGGUACCCCUUAAAGCAAGAGUGACAACUCAAGCAAACAGAAAUUCUGACCGACAGCGAUCCGGCCAAGGCCGAUCAACGGACCGAGUUACCCUAGGGAUAACAGCGCAAUCCUCUUCUAGAGUCCAUAUCGACAAGAGGGUUUACGACCUCGAUGUUGGAUCAGGACAUCCUAAUGGCGCAG